rnacentral:rRNA from 1 species
GGGUCAGUAGGUUGGUCGUGCCACCGGUACGUACUGGUCUCACUGAUUCCUCCUUCCUGAAGAACCGUAAUGCCAUUAAUUUGGUGUUGCGGAGAAACAGGACUGUUACUUUGAAAAAAUUAGAAUGUUUAAAGCAAGCUAACGCUUGAAUACAUUAGCAUGGAAUAAUGAAAUAGGACGAUCGAUCCUAUUUUGUUGGUUUCUAGGAUUGACGUA